rnacentral:lncRNA from 1 species
UUUUUUUUUUUUAACGUCUGGAUUUAUUAUUUAUUGCAAAUUAUGAGAACUGUUACAUAGACGAUUCUACAACGGACAAUUCCUUCCGACCCUUAUUAGAUUUACGACAGACGACACCUUCUUCACCUUCUUCUUCAUACUCACCUCCUUCUUUAUGCUCUUGAUGGACACUUCCCUCUCUGCGUAGAAUCUUGGCGAACGGCUAUAAUUGUACAUCGCUGGAGAUCUCCUGCACACUUGCCUCCAAUAAUCUGCAAAUUUAUUAAUAAAUCGCAGUAUCUGGGACUC